AGCUACAGCUACAGCUCCCUCCUUUUUUUUGUUUUGUUUUUUUAACCUCUGUUGACGAAAACAGCAAAACAUAAACAAAAGAACAUGAUCCCCAAAUCCGCCAAAAAAACAUGGCAAAUUCCUCUUCUUUCAACCACCGUUACACUGUAAUAACCUCAUUAUUCCUCGUCUCUUUCCUCUUAACAAUUUUCCUCUUCAACAAACGAGCUCUUGAGCCCACUCUUUAUUUCUACAGAGAUUUCUUUCCACAAACAACGACUGCCUCCCACAUUUCCUUGCCUAAUUUCACCCUUCCCGACUCAGAAGAACCGGUUGACUCAGUGAUUCACCAACCCAUUUCUCAAAAUGAGACAAUUGAGUCCAAAACCGGUGAUGAUUCGAGAAAUAUGGAGGUGUCUACUGAAAAUGAGGAUGACCCAGAUGGGGGUGUGGACUCUGGUGAGGAUUUGAUUUAUAACUCAACAAAUGUGGAGGUGUCUAGUGAAAAUAAGAAAGACCCAGAUGUGGAUUUGGAGUCUGGUGGGGAUUUGAGUGGCAAUGGUGGUGAUAAAUUGAUGGAGAGCUUGAAAAGUUGUGAUCUUUAUAGGGGUACUUGGGUGAAAGAUGAAGAGUAUCCGAUUUAUAAAGCGGGUUCUUGUCCUUAUGUUGAUGAGGCUUUUGAUUGCCAAGGUAAUGGAAGGAAAGAUUCCGAUUAUCUUAAAUGGCGUUGGAAGCCUAAUGAUUGUGAUCUUCCAAGGUUUAAUGCAACAGACUUCUUGACAAGAUUGAGAGGUAAGAGGCUCAUGCUGGUUGGAGACUCCAUGAACCGAAAUCAGUUUGAAUCAAUGUUGUGUCUCCUUCGUGAAGGCCUGCCUGAUAAGAGCAAAAUGUUUGAGAUCCAUGGCCGCAGAAUAACGAAGGGAAGAGGCUACUAUGUCUUCAAAUUUGUGGAUUUCAAGUGUACUGUGGAAUUUGUGAGGUCACAUUUCCUUGUAAAGGAAGGGGUGCGGAUAAAUGCACAAGGAAGCUCAAACCCAACUCUAUCUAUAGAUGUAAUUGACAAGACAGCAGGCCGAUGGAAGAGGGCUGACAUCCUGGUUUUUAAUACUGGGCACUGGUGGACUCAUGGAAAGACAGCUCGUGGGAAAAAUUACUAUAAAGAAGGUGACUAUCUCUAUCCAAAGUUUGAUGCAGUUGAGGCUUACAGAAGGGCUCUAAGGACCUGGGGAAAGUGGAUUGACAAAAAUGUGAAUCCAAAAAAGCAGUUGGUAUUCUAUCGUGGAUACUCCUCAGCCCAUUUCAGAGGUGGAGAUUGGGAUUCAGGAGGGACAUGCAACGGGGAGACUGAACCAGUUUUGAGGGGGUCAAUUCUCAACAACUAUCCUGUCAAAAUGAAGAUAGUGGAGGAGGUAAUCCAGGAAAUGAAGAAUCCAGUUACACUGUUAAAUGUCACUAGUUUGACCAAUUUUCGAAAGGAUGGGCAUCCUUCAAUCUUUGGCAAGAACGUAACUGCUGGGAUAAAGGUCUCAUCAAGGCGCCAAGACUGCAGCCAUUGGUGUCUUCCAGGUGUCCCUGAUGCAUGGAAUGAGCUCAUAUAUGCAACCCUGGUUCAACAUUGACUUUCCAAGAGUUAAAACAACAAUCUUCCCUCCUCAUUUUCAACGGGGAAAGAAAAAAUAUUUAUAAUUUUACUUUCACAAGGAGAAAUGUGUGCUGAUGAUUGGUGAGGUUACUAUUUCUGAUCUUACCUUUUCAACGCAGGGGGUUGUUUCUGGGUUGCUUCUGUGGUAGGUCUUUUUCCAAGAAGAUUACAUAAAGUAAUGCCUUAGCUUAAAGCUGUAAGCAACCAUCAAACUCCACCUCUUGGCUUGGACCAUAAAACAUGGGUCCAUCGUAUAAUCUUAAUCUAAUUUCAGCAAACUUGGUCAAUCUGCCAAAA